AAGGAUUUUGGCCAAUCCUCUCCUCGCGCGCGGCGUGCUUCGAGUGGGUUGUGGAACCCUAGACCCCUUUCCCCAAUACCACGGCCGCCUCCAUCCUCCCGUGCUCCACCCCGAGCGUGCCCGGGCUCCGCCUCCUCCUCCUCCUCCACCAUACCUUCUCUUCUCACUCUUCCUCCUGUCGCAGCCGCCUCCUCUUCUCCCUAUCUUCCUCCUCCUCGCCCCACGCGACCCCUCUUGUGCCGCUCGUUCCACUUCGUUGCCGCCAUAGAUCGAGGAGGACGGCGCGAUGACGACCAUGAUGCAUCGGACAUCCCAGAUCGACGACGCCAUGGAAGCCAUGAGAGCUGGCCGAGGAAGAGGGGGCAGGGCCGCAGGCCAUGAAGGGCAUGGCGGCUGCGGGCGGAAGCAGCAUGGGUUGAAGGAGCGGCGGAUGUGGGCGGGGUCAGAGGUGGGGAAGACUCGUCGGCUGGGCAACAGCAAGCGCCGGUUCUACGAUCUGUUGCAUCUCUUUUCUUCUCGUUAAGGAGAGGGGAGGCGGCCAAUGAAGGGGCAUAUUGUUUUGGUUAUCGGUGGUUGGAGAUAUUGUGGCUUGAUGUCCCUGGAGCAGUCAGACCCUUCCAAGAUAGGUCGAGCGACGGCGAGCACAUCCGACGGCAACACACCCGUUCUUUCUCUCCCCAUGCCGCCUCCUCCCUUCGGCCCUGAUUCAUCGGCGCGUGCAGACACCUUUCCUUCUUUGACUUCUCCCCUCUUUUUCGUAAAAGCAAAAAAGAAGCAGGAGCAAAAGGAAAGUGAGCACCAUAGAAAGGAUGAUUAUAAGCAAGCGACAAGAACAAGCCAAUAGGCAUGGCAUUUUAUGAAAAAUGAGCAGAGAGACCAGGCGUGGGACUAGUGCUUGGUAGCAGCAGCGAUUCCUUCAGGCAUUUCGAUUCCAGUAACCACAAGUUCUAGGGAAGAUGUAUGUUUCCUACUAAAGGGUUUGAGUUUGAGAGGCACAGAAGAAGUUACAAGUGUUGCAGCUUAUUUGGCUUUAUAGUGACAUGUAUCGGCAAACGAUUGUUAUAUUCAGUAUGCUAGGGUGUGUCCUAUUUAUCAUGCAGAUUCUGUAUUAGGUGCUCGAUAGAGGUAACAAAAGCUAACAGAGAUCAGAAUAUAUUUUUACUUAUAUUUUUGUCUUUCUUUUAGUUCUGUGUAGUCUUUAUUUACCAUGUAAUGAUUAGUUUGAAUGCUUAUAGUGGUGAUACUUUCCCUAUAAAUUUGUUGGGUAGAUUAUAAUUCCGUUACUUGAUUUAGGAUAGUAUAUGGUUCUAUGAUACAGGAUUUAGAGGAACAUAUAUGGGAUUUAGUUUUUCAGGUCACACCUGUCCCAUAUUCUUUUACUUUCCCUAUUGAUUUUAGCUUGCAAUUGAGUAAGAUGCAGGUUGGGAAUUCUCCCUUGUGUGUCAGAAUCUGAAGUAUUUGACCAUUUGGGUUCACUUCUAUCAUGUUUUGUAUCCUUCCUCUAUUUUAAGAUUUACUAGGCACAUGCAGGUUAGUUGUUGUUUCAAACAUGUCAAUGAAAGGUAAUAAUGUUAAAAUUGGUUCCCCAAGGGCCAAGGUGGUGAUGAUUACUUUGUGCUUCUUUUCCUACUUGUUCUAAAAAUGAUCCUUCUGGGUGAUGUUGAUUUAGGUUUUUGUGGUCGUGUCAUACACCAAUUACCGUUGAGAUGGGUAAUGGUAUGGGAAUGGGCUCCAAGGAUGUGAAAAUGGUCUGGAAGACAGAGUUAGCAGCGACAUGUGUCCUCAAGUAAUUUCUUGCCAAAGGUGAUGUGAAGGUUAGCUACUGUGAUCAAGGAAAUAACAUGUAUCUGUGUGGUUUGUUCCUGCUGUUGAUCGGUCGUUGCUGCAUUUGAGGUAUGUUGUGCCCGGUGCUACUUAAUGCUAUAUAAAACCUAUAGCUGUACAUAAAACGCCUUGAUAUGCAAAUAACCCAGUUAAAAUAAAUGGGUUGCGCCAUCUAGCAUUACAUGACGACAUGCCAAACACUUUGCCACCUAGGAUAGUCUAUAUUUGUAUUUCAUUCAGUUAUCUCAUAUUUCCAGUAAAAAAAACUCUUCGCUUUGGGGUUUUGGAAUAAUCUUCAGGAAGUUGGUGACAAGUUAGUAGAACUUAUAGAAAUGCCGCUUUCAUUAGACAAUGACAUGCCAAAGACGCCACUGCCUAAGGUAGUCUUUGGACUUAAGCUAUGUACAAUAACAAGAUUUGUCGCUUCAGUUUUUAGAAUAAUCAUUGAUAAGUUGGUUAAGAAUUAGAGCUAAAGUUACGCUCAUGAGUAGUAUUUGUUGUACAAACAUCCAGUUAAUUCUUGAGAUACAAUAGAAACACUAUAUUAGUACUACUUUAGUCAAAUACAUUGUCCACUGGUUGUUGUAGUGAAAUGUCGCUCUAGCUAUUAAUUUACAGAAUUGUAGAAAAUAGCCCCUACGGAAUUACAAAGAGCGAGAAUAAGGAAGCUGGCAAACUUAGUGCUCCAUGGUAUUUCAGUAGAAAGGAAAUAGAAGAGAAUUCUCCGUCUAAGAGGGAUGACAUUGAUUUAAAGAAAGAGACUUACCUUCGGAAAUCGUAUUUGCACUUAUCUACAAGAUUUGGGGAUGCGGCUCAAAGUGUAAGAUAUUUUAUGUCCUUCUAUGCAUUUAUCGAUACUGUAGCCUGUUGGCUGACUGUCCCUUACUUAUCCAAAAACAUUGAGUUCUGCUACUUACCCAACCAGAUGUUAAAUAUUUCAAAAUGCGUCUUUAUAUUGACAUUGUAUCGUAAUUGCUUCUCCUGAUGUGUUUUUGUUUUACACCAGCAUAUAUUUGGUCCAGAGAUAUUCAAUUGUUUGUCUGAUAAGAUAAUAUUUUACUUCUUUAUGCAGCACUCUUAUGGCAAGCACAUUUUUUCUGGAUGAACUGCUGGUUGGUUUUUUUCUCCAUAAAUACGAUAAAUUAUCAUAUCAUAUGAAAUGUUAAGAUAUACUGAAAAUAUGCCCUGUAUGAUGGUGGUCUGGCAUUUUAGAAUUGUUUUGGGCAAUUCAUGUUUGUAUGCAUUUUUUCUUUUGGCCCUUGAAGGCAUCUUUAAUAGUUUGCAAUUGCGAUAGAAAUUGCUGUGCUCGUAUCUUUAGUUUUUAUUACAAUUGGUCGAGCUACAACGAGUGCGUCUGAUUCCAACUCAUCAAGGUGAGCUCCCUCUUUUAUUCUUCUCAGGUAAUGAGGCGUCAGUGUAGGCCCAAUCUUUUUGUUUGUUGCUUUGAAGAGUGUUGUCAUGUUGUGGAAAGGCAACAUGUGCUUGAUAUGUGGAGUUGGUGUUGAGCCUGGCGGUAGUAGACAGGGAAGGCACCCAUCUCACUUGAUCUUGAGAGUUGAUUCAUAUCUUUUUUCUUGACCUGAUUGAGUUCCUGUAUAUGCAAGGAUAAAGAAGAAUGGGCAUUGUCGUGGUUGUUGCUUAAGGUGUUGGUCAGGAGCUGAUUGCCGGGACUGAUGACAAGAACGGAGAGCAGGAUGAGUAUGUCAACAUGAUGUUCCUUGAUGUUGGCCUUCUUUUAUAAAGUUCACAUGCAACUCUCCUCCAUGGUUAGAAAUAACUAAUUUAAACAUUUUGUUUCUUUGGUGGUUACUCAUUUCUCUUACCGUUGUUGUAUCAAAACAAUUGUAUUUUCGUUGAUGGCCACUUGGGCUCAUUUUCGAGGAGAAUGAGAUGUGGAAUAAACUACUCUAAAACGGUUGGUUCCCUUAAGACAAUUUAUUAGCUAACUAAUUUUGGCUGCUGGUGCACAUGAUACAAUUGUGCUCUGUUGUUGCCAUCUUGCAUUUUAUGUGAGCUUAAACAGACAAUCAAUUAAACUUUUACUAAGUUCUUACCGUAUGUAUUUGCUCAAACACAGUUACUAAAAAAAUUCAAAUAUUUUUAGCAAGUACAUGGUUUUAAAUGGGACUCGGUGCCAUUUAGCGCGAUGGGCAGUGUUAUAGAAAUAUAAUUUUUUGGUGCAACAGUUAUACACUCUUUUUUCAAGCUUGGAUUUCACAAUGUGAUAGACAUUUUCAAAAGAGUAUGGUUUAAUAUAUGGGUUUUCUACAACGAGUAUUGAAUAUGUCCUUGCAAAAGAAACUAUUUUCAUCCACAACAUGUUUUUAGCGGCGCAACGGAUAAGAAAUCGCACUGGUCUGUGGCUGAGGAAAUGCCUCUGUCACCCAACUGAGGAACCGAGAAAGAAAUGAAGGGGAUAGACAUUCUCUGCUGGAUCCGUCCACUGCUGCUUCAUAUUCAACUCGGUCCACAGGCAUCGCUCUAUGAAAAAGAUGCACGGUCUCUGCGCCAUUUGGCGGAACGGGUCAACUAGUUUUUAUAUAGAGGCAGCAACACAUGGAGAAAAUCAUAACCAAUUGGUGGUGUAAUAAGCACCGGGAUUUUCUCAGUUCUCAUGACAUUCAUUUGAGGACAAUAACGAUGGAAGGUUAUGCAUCCAAUCAGGCAAACAGAGACUUCGUCACAUUCUUCCUAUUGAAUGCGAGGUUACUAUUGUCCAUGGGGCUUAAGUUUUUCAACAAGAAAUUUCUCACAGAUGGAUAUGUUGGACAGCAAAAAAAGAAGAUUCGGGUCGACAAAUGGGCUUAUGAACGUGCUCGGCUUCUAUUUACAACAACUUGUCGUCAUAUGCGAGUAAACUUUUUGGCAUAGGAUGUUGAUUUUAUGGAUCACACCGACCCAUUUAUUUGUGACUGCCAAAAAUAGUGGUUGGGUUAGAUGUUAUUGCCAUGUGUGUUCAGUCUGGAUUUUGUCUAAACCUGAUGAACAAUUAAUCCUUGGGCUUUUGUACUGUUUAUAAGCUUGAGUUAGAUAUUGUUGCCCUUUUCAA